GGGCAGAAGCAGCAUUGAAUCUUGCUACAAACUGAAGCUCUGAACAAAGGACUGAAUGACCCAUCCCAGCUGUGGAUGUACUCCAGAGACUUGAUUUGAAUCUGCAGUUUAUUCCACCACUGUUACGAGCCUGAACCAAGAACUUUGCCGUUACUGUAUGUAAUUGAUUCCAUUUAACCAAUUCUAGUUCUCAUCUAUAUCUUUUUGCUUUUAUGAAUAAACCCUUAGAUUUUAGAUUCUAAA